rnacentral:rRNA from 1 species
UAGAGUUUGAUCCUGGCUCAGGAUGAACGCUAGCUACAGGCUUAACACAUGCAAGUCGAGGGGCAUCAUGGAGUUUGCUUGCAAACUCUGAUGGCGACCGGCGCACGGGUGAGUAACGCGUAUCCAACCUUCCCUAUAGUAGAGGAUAGCCCGGCGAAAGUCGGAUUAAUACUCUAUGUUUUCCGUUGCAGACAUCUAAGAUGGAACAAAGGCUUGCCGCUAUAGGAUGGGGAUGCGUCUGAUUAGGUAGUCGGCGGGGUAACGGCCCACCGAGCCAUCGAUCAGUAGGGGUUCUGAGAGGAAGGUCCCCCACAUUGGAACUGAGACACGGUCCAAACUCCUACGGGAGGCAGCAGUGAGGAAUAUUGGUCAAUGGGCGAGAGCCUGAACCAGCCAAGUAGCGUGCAGGACGACGGCCCUAUGGGUUGUAAACUGCUUUUAUGCGGGGAUAAAGUUCACUACGUGUAGUGUUUUGUAGGUACCGCAUGAAUAAGGACCGGCUAAUUCCGUGCCAGCAGCCGCGGUAAUACGGAAGGUCCGGGCGUUAUCCGGAUUUAUUGGGUUUAAAGGGAGCGCAGGCCGAUGGUUAAGCGUGACGUGAAAUGUAGCCGCUCAACGGCUGAGUUGCGUCGCGAACUGGCUGUCUUGAGUGAGUUCGAUGUGGGCGGAAUUCGUGGUGUAGCGGUGAAAUGCUUAGAUAUCACGAAGAACUCCGAUUGCGAAGGCAGCCCACAAGGCCUUUACUGACGCUAAAGCUCGAAGGUGCGGGUAUCGAACAGGAUUAGAUACCCUGGUAGUCCGCACGGUAAACGAUGAAUGCCCCGCUGUUUGCCAUAUACUGUGGAGCGGCCAAAAAAAUCCUUAACCCCUCCCCCCGGGGGAGUACCCCCGCCACGGUGAAACUCAAAGAAAUUACCGGGGCCCCCCCAACCGGAGGAACCUUGGGUUUAUUUC